CAGGGAAUCUUGCACAAUGGGCGAAAGCCUGAUGCAGCGACGCCGCGUGGGGGAUGAAGGCCCUAGGGUCGUAAACCCCUUUCAGCAGGGACGAAAAUGACGGUACCUGCAGAAGAAGCCCCGGCCAACUACGUGCCAGCAGCCGCGGUAAGACGUAGGGGGCGAGCGUUGUCCGGAUUUAUUGGGCGUAAAGAGCUCGUAGGCGGUUGCGUAAGUCGGAUGUGAAAACUCAGGGCUCAACCCUGAGACGCCAUCCGAUACUGCGCUGACUUGAAUCCAGUAGGGGAGUGCGGAAUUCCUGGUGUAGCGGUGAAAUGCGCAGAUAUCAGGAGGAACACCCAUGGCGAAGGCAGCACUCUGGGCUGGUAUUGACGCUGAGGAGCGAAAGCAUGGGUAGCGAACAGGAUUAGAUACCCUCGUAGUCCCUGAGCGGGCUGGCAAGGCGCAU
rnacentral:rRNA from 1 species